GACUCUCGGCAACGGAUAUCUCGGCUCUCGCAUGGAUGAAGAACGUAGCAAAAUGCGAUACCUGGUGUGAAUUGCAGAAUCCCGCGAACCAUCGAGUUUUUGAACGCAAGUUGCGCCCGAAGCCUUCUGGCGGAGGGCACGUCUGCCUGGGCGUCA
rnacentral:rRNA from 7 species